rnacentral:rRNA from 1 species
UACGAAGGAUGCAAGCGUUAUCCGGAUUCAUUGGGUUUAAAGGGUGCGUAGGUGGCCUUAUAAGUCAGUGGUGAAAUCUCGCAGCUUAACUGCGAAAUUGCCAUUGAUACUGUAGGGCUUGAGUACAGUUGCCGUUGGCGGAAUAUGACAUGUAGUGGUGAAAUACAUAGAGAUGUCAUAGAACACCGAUUGCGAAGGCAGCUAACGAAACUGUAACUGACACUGAGGCUCGAAAGUGCGGGGAUCAAACAGG